UAAAUCCCGUUAAAAUGUUAUUAAUGUAUUUUGUCGACACUUUUAAAAUUUGUCUAAAUUCUGUCCUUUGUUUGAACAAAACAAUUCAAAGGAAGACCACAAAAACACAUAGAGGUCAGAAGUUUGAUGAUAUGAAAAUAUCCAUUAUUUAUAUUAAGUUAAAAGUAUCAGUAUCGGCGAUACUGGCCCUGUAUUUAUUUGGUAUCGGAUUGACACCAAAAUAUGCAGUAUCGCACACCUCUGUCCAAUAUCUAGUGCAAAUAAAUGUCAUGUACUCCAUAAAUCUGGACUUAAUGGUAGAGUGGCAACAUAUUCUUGUGUGACCAUGACCCAGUCAAAGUCUAUCCAUCAGUACCUGCAUAUCCUUGCAGGGUCACGAGGAGGCUGGUGCUUAAGGUGGUAAAAUGUUGAAGAAAAAAAAAAUCAACACUUUGUCACCUCGUCUCGCUCGGCUUCUAAGACUUAUCCUCUAUUUCUCGUUCGUCUUCCUUGUGGACACAAAAUAUUUACCUCAACAUACACGCGAGAAAUGGAGGAAAAUGCUGAGGUGCUCAUCUGUGUUUCCAUGAGAUCAGUCCGCUGCUUAAUUAAUCUGUCUAGUCUCCAGCCCACGGAAAGUCUCCGGGUUCCACAGUGUUUUUGCCGUGGAGGUGUGCUUUUCUUGCGCAACGUAGUUUUUCAGGAAUUCUGGUAAAGCAGAAGUUAAACCAGAGGGGAUCAUGGCGGGAAACUGGAAGCUCUUCCAUUAGCUCCCCCAGAAGGCAGAGCCCAGCCGAGCUGUUCAUCGUCCUCAUCUUUUGUUAUGAACAGUUGGAGAAAGGUUUGAUUUCACUAUUGGUCACAUAGAACGGUUGCUGAUUUUUAGCCCGCUUUUGUUCGAGCAAGACGGCUCAUAUCUCCAUUUUCAUGUAUUUCCAGUCAGAACCUUAGAAGCACACAUAGUAAUUUAUUUUUUGUUAAGAGUUUGUAUUAUUCUUUUUCUAAUAUAGGAUAAUUAUACAACAAUUUCAGUGAUUUCUUUUUUUUUAUGAGAACUUUAGACACUCUUCUGUUUGAAUAUUUGAGUUCAUUUCUAGGUCAUUUUAAUUGGCAAUUUAAUUUAUUUCCUUUAUGGUUGCGGUUAGCCUAGCCACUGCCGUCCCACACAAUUCCAUUUUAAUUAUGAACUAAUCUCGCUCACCAGCUUUCGCCCAUUUACUUCGAUUUGUCCGGCUCAAUAUCUGCCGAGCCAAUCAGCAAACAGAAGGACAAAUGGUGAACGAUGACGUCGAAGCCCUUCAGUCCGUGUUGGCCACGCCUCCAAAUAUUGAAUUAACAUGAACAGUCGCCUCGUUCGGCUCGGCACUUUUCUCUCCAGUGGAGGAUGGUUGUUUACAGUGCAGGAAAUUUCCGGUUAUGCCUCAUAGCGUCGAACUGGCUCAUUACACACCUCACCGGCAAACGUUAGCCAUCGGGUAACAUUUAGAACAGAGUCCAAGUAGGAAACUAUCGUUUCUCAAUAGCCGAGGGUCCAGACCAGAAUAUGGGUUCAGUUAAUUGGAUUCCAAAAGCAGAUAUUUGUCUGUGUUUGGGAUCAUUGUCCCGUUGGAACGAUCACUUGUGUCUAUUUUUUUCUCCCAAUAGCUUAGCUUAGAAGUGGGGAGAUCUGGUGUUUUCAUGAUUAAUUAUGCCUAAUUUCAAUGGACAUAAGUUGCCUGAAAUGACGAGGUGUGUCAGAGUAACAAGAGCUCCCCGAGAACUAGAACUGCGACCUCCACUUGAGAGUUGGAUCGGUUGUUUGCGUGUGCUCGACUUUGCUUUACUCCCUCAAACACACUCUUUGUCAUCGCUAAACCUUUUUUUUUUCUCUCUCCGACCAUAAAGCUUUUCUCCAGAACUCGCUUAGCGUUUCCACGUGGGCAGCUGAAAAUUUCAGUGACACUUGAAGGCACUCGAAGGGAAUGACAAAACACAAUGUGUUGUGAAUGUUAAUAAUGCCACUGGAGUAAUCUGUUUGAUCCUCUGAUGUAAAUUAUGGCAUGAACAAUAAAAAAAAGGGAGCAUAGAACAACAUUCUCAGAUGGAGAAACAAUAAAUAGUUAGUUUGGCAGUUCUCUCAGAAGCCCUCUGAGUUUGUUGGCGGCACAUUUUCCGCAGGAUUAUUUCCAAAGGGACAUUGGUCUGAAGGUGAAUUUCGUAACACCGUCCAACAGGAGAAAGAGAACGGGGGCUGUGUGCGGAGUUCACCAUCAAAGCAACCGUUGAAAAUCUAGAUCGCCUCCUCAGAGGUCUGCAGAAACAGUUUGACUAUUGAUUUCCUGUGAUGGAAAGCAGGCACAGAGUCAAAUAAUACCUCAUUUCUUUCAGAUAUUUAUGCAAACAGUGGCUGCAACAUAUUCCAUGCGCUCAGUGAAAUAGCGCUCGUGGAUGACAGUUAUUUGCUCACCAGACUUGCUUUUACAGGCGCACAUUGUUGCGUAACAUGUCUACACCGGGGCUUAUUUGACUUGUUGAUGUGAAACAUGAGAAUUACAGGCCAUAUGAGGGCUUAGAGCUAGGACACCUCCUCUGGAAAGGUCAAAGGUCUCAUUUUGAUGAUAUGCCUCAGUACUUUGGCUGAAAUUGUUUUGCUACUUGGAGCUUUCUGUGAGCUUUGGAACGUCUAAAGCUUCUGACCUGCGAGUGACGAAAUGUGAAGAGGUCCGGCGGCUUGUGUAGACCGGAAGACGUCAGCGGAUGUCAAACCUAAACGAUGUGCAUAAUUUACGUCCUGUCUCACCAGGGAAUGUGAAUCAAAGUGUUUCAACUGAGAAACGACUCAGAAAACUCUGAAAACAUGGCGCUAACUUGUCUGCCCAUUACUAAUAUUUAUGUCUCUUCUGGCAUCUAAAUAAAACUAAUGUCUGCCUGUAAACUGUAAUUCUAACAACUACCUCCUUGCAGACCGCAGCCUCUCCGCCAUGUUGCUUGAAAGUACGGGCCCCCAGGACCCCUGACACACUGUCUGCAUUGAAAGUCUUUUUUUUUUACCAAUUGCAAUAGCAGCUCUCGUUCCAUCUGCGUGCGCGCUCAGACUGGAUGUCGCGGUGCAUCGCUAAAGAUGAAACGCGUGUCUUCUCUGUUUUUCCUCUCUCUUGCAGAUGACAGAGUAAGCAAGUUCGUAUUACUACUGCCGUAAAGUCAGGCAAAGAGUCAACGACAAAGCUCCAAACACAAACCUUUUCAACCACACGUAUGUCAUCAUCAACACGUUAACAUUUGGCGUCUUUAUUUGGUGGUCGGAAACAUUUAAAUGUGACGUGAAAGUAGAAAACAGAAGAAAUGUGUUGGGGAGGAAAUGCUUUUUCAUAGCACUGUUCACAAGCAGGAAGGACACGAAUAUGAUCAGACACCAAUAAGCUACAGAGUAGUAAUAAUGAAAAAAAAAACAACAAAAGAAAACAAGAAUUUCAUUUCGUGAUCUUAACUUGUGUUUUUACUUGCGGUGCACCAAUUGCAGUUUCCUGGCGGACCCUAACCCUAGCCCGAUUCUGAUUUUGGCCGAUAUCGAUUGCUAUUUGUCUAAAAAGUUAAGAAAUAUAUCAACGAAGUCGAUAAGUCGGCAACAGUGGGGUGACUAUUGUUAGCCACUGGUGCUUACUGUGUAGACUUCACCCGGUCUAUCAGCACAACGUUUUUCACAACAGAGCAAAAUGGGACAGUAGCUGAUUUUCAAACCAUUGCAGAAGUAGAUAAGAUCGGUGAAUAAGAUCGCUUUAUUAUGUGAGCAUCAGCCAGUCGCAGUCACUCAAAAUGAAGGAAAACGAGUCCGGUUUAUAGGCCAGGAGCCUUACUUUUUACUGUAUAUACUGCUCAGCUGUCAUAUUGUAAUCUCCUUCAUUAGUCUCCACAAACUGUGUAAUCCGACACCUGUCUCCCAGAACCAUCUGCAAUUUGAGCAGCAGUAUCAGAUCAUUAUUUGCUCCCAGCAUGAAUAACUAGUUCACUGCUUCCUUUUGACCACCUUACCUACUGACCACUGCAGACUGGGAGCAUCUCACAAGAGCGGUGCAGUUUUAGAGAUGCUCUGACCCAGUUGUCUGGUCAUCACUGUCCAAAUGCUCCUGACAUUUCCAGUUUGAGGAGACGAUGUUAACAGGCAACUCAUUCAUAAACUCCUCAGAGUUUAUGAAAACAAACGUCUUGGAUGUGGAAUAACUACAAUUGGCCAUUGUGGAUAGGAAAAAAGAGGAGUCCUUUUUUUGCUGAAGAACUCAGAAAUGUUCAGGUUAAUCUUGUUGGGAAGCUGGAGUUUUAGGUUCUGUGGGGCUGCUUUUCUUGUCUCUAGUUAUCCACUAGAUGGAGCCAGGAAGCUGUGUUGUCCAGAGGGCGGUCUCAGGUGUUCAGCCGUCACACCUGCAGCCUAUCUGUCAUCAGCCAGUGUUUAAGAGAAGCCUGUCACCAGUCCUUCGAUGCCUGAGUGUUGCCGUUCAUGGUUCUCAGCGGCUGUUACCUUUGUGCCUUAUGAGUUUUAUCGUUUCACCUCCAAGAUUCUUCAUAAAGAAACCCCUGGUUCAUAAAUCCCUACGACUGGUUCUUCUGGCUGUUCAAGUCUGUGCUACAACCUGUCCACCCUCCAAUGAAGUACAACUAACAAACCAUCAUCGCUGCCCAUUCUCUCUGGAUCUCCUGGCUUCAGUUCCAACUCCACCUGGACCUGGCACUCACCCUAGAAACCAAGUUCCAGCACCAGCAGAAUACCUCCCCCUGGUGGAUCAGUUCCAUUUCACUAAAUCCAGAUCUCCAGCCGUCCCAUACCCCGGGCAAAGAAGAUGCAUUUAAACUCUUUUUACAAUAAACUUUAUUUAACUGA